AUGUAAAGAACUUUUUUAUUAGUUUUAUUUUUUUAUUGAUGUUUUGGUCAGACAAAUAAAAAACAAUAACUGUUACAUUAUUACAGUUACAUCAAUAGGAGUUACAUUGUUUUGGGUUUUUUUUCAGUACCUGCCCAGUCUUUUUUUUUCACAAACAAAAAAAAAUUAACUUUAAAAUAAAAUAAAAAGGAGUUUGCAGUCCAGCAACAACGUACAACUCAAGCUAGACCUCCAACACAAAACAUAGAUCCACAAAACAAAAAACAAAGCAAAAACACAACACCUUAGGAAGUCUACAUAGUAUACACAUCCUGUACCUGAACCAAAUCGUAAAGAACAUUUUUGAUUAGUUAUUAUUAAUUUAAUUAUUAAAACAUUUUCAUUGUUUUAUUUUGUUCAAAUGAAGAAAAUGUGUGUGUGUGUGUGUGUGUGUGUGUGUGUGUGUGUGUGUGUGUGUGUGUGUGUGUGUGUGUGUGUGUGUGUUUAAAUGUCGAAACCUUGAUCAAGAAACUUUAAAACAUUUAGAUUUAAAUGUAAAUACUGAUAAUCACAAAAUUAGCAGUGCACUAUGAAUUAAAGAUCCUGUCUUUUACAUUAUGUAGGAGCGUGAACAUGAAUGAGGUUAUUUUCGUUUCAAAUUUAGAAGUUCUCUUUUUUCAAGACCAACUAGGUUAUGGAAGAAAAGCGCCAGUAAAUAAUUAAUGAAUGUAUUCAUCAAAAUUUGAGCCUGUCCUCCCAGGAAAAACUAUGCUCAUUAUGUCAGUUGCCAAAAAUGACCAAUAGUUACAUUUGAGUGACAGACACCAUCUAGUGGUCAUAGUAAUUAUGACCCAGAGAAGCAGCACAGUUUAGAUGAAAUCCAAAUUUCCAAAUUCAAAUUCAGAGGUGAAGACCCCAGGAAGUGAAAGAGUAGAGGCUGAGAUAGUAUGGGUUAAGCUCCAAAAACAGUAGAACCUGCCUCCUAAACACCCGAAUCUUUCAAACCACAUGACUAAAGUUUGCUUUCUGUUAAACAAUAUAGAUCUCAAGCCCAAGCUGAUCACAUCAUCAGGAUUGUUUUAUCAAAUCAAUGUUUGGAAACCUCCCCCAGAGCCACAGAAGACAUCAUACAACUUUGACAUGGUUUGAGUUUUUCUAUUUAAGAGACAUUGUCUUAGUUCAUGUCCAUAACAAGUAAUGACAAAAAAAUGAAAUAAGGAAAUAUAUGAUCUGUUUAUUUAUUCAUUUGAAAUGUAGUUUGUAGAUGCAUUUUAUUUUGAAUACAUUUCAGCAGCUCUUGGUCAUGCAUUUAAACAAAAACUUAAUUGCUCUGAGAAUCCAGUAAGGGAGCACAUCUGCUUCUCUCAAAAGAAAAUACAAUCAGACUCCAUUAUUACC